AACGAACGCUGGCGGCGCGCCUAAUACAUGCAAGUCGAGCGAGAAGGUGUAGCAAUACACUUGUAAAGCGGCGAACGGGUGAGGAAUGCAUGGGUAACCUACCCUCGAGUGGGGAAUAACUAGCCGAAAGGUUAGCUAAUACCGCAUACGUUUCCGGAACUUCGGUUUCGGAAAGAAAGCAAUACCGUGGGUAUUGCGCUCCUGGAUGGGCUCAUGUCCUAUCAGCUUGUUGGUGAGGUAACGGCUCACCAAGGCUUCGACGGGUAGCUGGUCUGAGAGGACGAUCAGCCACACUGGCACUGCGACACGGGCCAGACUCCUACGGGAGGCAGCAGUAAGGAAUAUUGCGCAAUGGACGAAAGUCUGACGCAGCGACGCCGCGUGGGGGAUGAAGGUCUUCGGAUUGUAAACCCCUUUCGGGAGGGAAGAUGGAGUGGGUAACCACUUGGACGGUACCUCCAGAAGCAGCCACGGCUAACUUCGUGCCAGCAGCCGC
rnacentral:rRNA from 1 species